UGUCGACGGACAGACACACCCUCACGGACGAUGGGAAGGAAGGACAUCGCAGGACGCGAUUCAUCAGGACGAUGAAUAGGAUUAAAGGGAUUAGGGAAAAAUGGGGCGGGUCAAAAAGGCCCCUUUUUUU
rnacentral:sRNA from 1 species